AGAACGACUCUCGGCAACGGAUAUCUCGGCUCUCGCAUCGAUGAAGAACGUAGCGAAAUGCGAUACUUGGUGUGAAUUGCAGAAUCCCGUGAACCAUCGAGUCUUUGAACGCAAGUUGCGCCCCAAGCCUUUGGGCCGAGGGCACGCCUGCUUGGGUGUCACGC
rnacentral:rRNA from 1 species